rnacentral:piRNA from 1 species
UGCAAGAAGGAUGUUGAAGUAACAGAAGCCA